GCCCGAGCAAAAGCUGGUUGUUCGAGUUCCUUAGGAGCCAGAGUUUUAUUAUGUUGCAGGACCAGAAUUUACCUCCGCGUUUGUUUUCUCUCAAGUGGUGGACUCCGCCCUGGAAUGCCAAAGGUGGCUCCCGUCUCUGUAUUCUUUUUGUUAGACCCCUCUGGUGAUCCUACUUUUCAUGAGAACCAUGGACAAUGUAGAAAAAUAUCAUACAUUCAUUUAACUUAGGACGUCACUUGCUUCCUAUCACAGUCUUCAAAGUGGAAUGUAUUGGGAAAUACCCACACCCAGGGAAGAGGACAGCGAGGAUAGCUAUCAAAAUCAGAAUGGUGAUUAUCUUUGGAUAGCAAAGAUAGAGGGAGAUCUCCCACCUACCAGUCCACUUCAAAGAUGCAUGUAACAGCUAAAUCCAAGACUUGGGAAGCAAUCUAUGUCUCCUAUAUGGGAAAGCAGGGACCUCCCAGGGUGUGUAUGAACAGGAAGCUGAAAUUGGAAGCAGAGCUGGAACCUGAAUCCAGGCACGCCAAUAUGGAAUGUGCGUAUCCCAAGUGUUGGUGUCUUAAAUGUUAUGGCAAACACCUCCCACUGUGAUUUUUAAAAAACUGAACAUUAUAUUUUUAAUGUUUACCCAUAGGUUAGUCCCAGAUUUUUUCAAUAUAUCUCUCAUAAUAUGUAUAUAGAUGUGAAAUUGCUGAGUCAGAACAUGUACAUUUUUAAAAGUUACAUUUCCUAGUAAAGUCAGAAGAUUGAAUACAUGUAUUUAAUUUUAUUUCCUUUCAAAAAUCCCACUAAAACUUUUAACAUGGCAAAAAUAGAUUGGCAGAGAGAAGAGAUAAUAUUAAUAAAAAUCUUGAAUGGUAAACUACUUGGUAAACUGAGAAAGUUAAAUCUAAGCUGAUGGAGAUGAUGUGAUAGGAAAGAUCCACCAAAUCAAUGUAAUUUAUACUUUGAAACAUCUAAAGGCUUCAGAAGAUAAUAGGUACCUUCAGAACAUUGGAUAAAAGAGGGGCUGGUUGAAAUAUAGUGAAUUGAUAGAAAGCUUUUAAAGAAGCAAUUCUGUAACCACAUCACCUUUCCUAUAACCACUCCCUUGGAUAAUUAUCCCUCAUAGUUAGUGGAAUUGUCUGCAGAGUGUAAAAUAGGAGUACUCUUGAUCUGGGAAUACCAGGCAAAAUGGAGGACACAAAUGCAAUAACAAAAUAGGAAGAUUAAUUGAAUGCAUGCAAAUAUUUACAGAUCCAUAAUGUUUUGAUAGUCUUCUUUGGAGGACCUGACCAGCUCAUGUGAAAGUCCUAAACAAUAUGCCAUUACACUUUCCCCAACAAAUGCCCACCUAGAUCACCCUGCAGGGAAAUUCACUGUUGUUAAGCCCACCCGCUAGGCCUUUAGUCUCAAUGAUUUAGAAAUGCCCCUUUAUCAAGACAUUUGAGGGAAAGAAACCCCUAAUAUGAAACAUAGCGAUGAAAACAAAUGUGCCCUCAAUUCUCCAGAUUGUGAAAACAGAAAUCAGGAAAUCCCCUAUGAAAUUAUUCCAGAAAAUUUUCCCCAGUUGAAAGAUAAUAGUUUCUACAAUGAAUUGGCCCAUGAAAUGCUCAGCACAAUGGGUGAAAGUAGUACUAUAUUAAGGCACAUUAUAAAAUUUUAUAACACUGUGUGAGGGUGAAAAGAUGUUUUUAUAAAGUUCUGUGAUUAGAGGGUGGAAUGGCAAAGAGUAAGGGACACAGUGGAUUUGAAUUCCUCAAUAGCAAUACAACUAGAAGAUAAAGGAGCAUUGAACUUGCAUAUAUAAAGGAAAUUUUUGAUUUUUUCUCAAUCUGUGGUUCCAUACCAACCUAAACUAUCAAUAGAAUGUUAGGGUAGAUUUUAACCAUUCAGGUCUCACAAUAUUUAUCUCAAAAGCAUUUUCUCUAGGAAGUUGCUAGAAUAAAUAUUUUUGUACAGCUUGAAUUUCAAAAAAAUGCCUUUGAAAUAGGGGAAAAUGGGAGAAAUAGAAUACCAAAAUACGUUUUCUUCAAAAUGACAUAUCAAUGUACAUUCCCUUAGCAGUACAUGGGACAAUUCCCUUAGGCCAUGUCCUCAUCAAUAAUUUUUUUCCCCUUAAAUUCUGAUAGAAAUCAUUGUAUUUCCAUCUGGGCCUGGUGUUUUCUU